GACGUAGGGUCCGAGCGUUGUCCGGAGUUACUGGGCGUAAAGGGCGCGUAGGCGGUCAGCACAAGUCAGUUGUGAAAUCUCCGAGCUUAACUCGGAAAGGUCAACUGAUACUGUGCGACUAGAGUGCGGAAGGGGCAACUGGAAUUCCUGGUGUAGCGGUGAAAUGCGUAGAUAUCAAGAGGAACACCUGCGGCGAAGGCGGGUUGCUGGGCCGACACUGACGCUGAUGCGCGAAAGCCAGGGGAGCGAACGGG
rnacentral:rRNA from 1 species